AGCGAACGCUGGCGGCAGGCCUAACACAUGCAAGUCGAACGAACCUCUCGGGGUUCGUGGCGGUAGGGAGAGUAACACGUGGGAACGUGCUUUUAGGUUCGGAAUAUCCCCGGGAAAUUUGUGCUAAAACCGAAAGUGCCCGUUGGGGGAAAGAUUUAUCGACUUUCGAGAGCCGCGCGUCUGACAAGCUAGUGAGUAGAGGUAACGGAUCACCGAGGUCACGGUUAGUAGCUGGUUUGUAAGGAUGAUCAGCCACAUUGGGGCUGUGACACGGCCCAAACUCCUACGAGAGGAAGCAGGGGGGAAUCAUGCGCAAUGGGCGAGAGAUUGACGCAGCCAUGCCGCAUAAAUGAUGUAGGCCUUAGGAUAGGCAAAUUCUUUCACAGGGGACGGUAAUGACGGUACCGGAAGAGGAAGCCCCGGCUAACUACGUG
rnacentral:rRNA from 1 species